UACGAAGGGGCUAGCGUUGCUCGGAAUCACUGGGCGUAAAGGGUGCGUAGGCGGGUCUUUUAAGUCAGGGGUGAAAUCCUGGAGCUCAACUCCAGAACUGCCUUUGAUACUGAGGAUCUUGAGUUCGGGAGAGGUGAGUGGAACUGCGAGUGUAGAGGUGAAAUUCGUAGAUAUUCGCAAGAACACCAGUGGCGAAGGCGGCUCACUGGCCCGAUACUGACGCUGAGGCACGAAAGCGUGGGGAGCAAACAGGG
rnacentral:rRNA from 1 species